GGGAUCGAGCCCCGCAUCGGGCUCCCUGCUCGGCGGGAAGCCUGCUUCUCCUUCUCCCACUCCCCCUGCUUGUGUUCCCUCUCUCGCUGUGUCUCUCUCUGUCAAAAAAAGAAAUAAAAUCUUAAAAAAGAAGAAGAAGAAGCGUUAAUUACGGGCCCCACCAGGAAAGAUGUAAAACAUUGCAUCUCCUACAAGAAAUCAACCACCCCUGCAACUCAGCCAGUGAGAAACCAUGAUCACCCCCAAACUCUUGCUUCUCCCUAGUGGACUUCUGUUCAAAACAGUGCCUCCCAGCUAACUCCUUCUGCUCCACAAUAUGCCAUUCCUCUCUUUUGUUAGACUUCCUAUGGUUUUGCCAUAGCUUGCUUAUCCCGGAUUGCAAUUCUCUGCUCUUUCUGAAUAAACCCAUCAUAAGUGUCGGUAACAUAACCGAUAGUCUCAUUUUUAAGGUUAACAUUACUUGGUGAUCAGAAGUAGGACCCAGAGAAGACCCCCAACAAUUCGGAGGCUGGUGAGCAAACAGGUACUUCCACCGACAGACCCUACUAGGCUCACUGCUUUCUCUCCAACCCUGGAGAUUGAAGGUAAGAUGUUGGGGUUCAGCGCCGAUGGCCAAGAAAGAAUUCUUGAGACGUCUUUGGUGCAAAAAGCAAAGUGUUAACAUCGAGGCAGCUGAGCACCCAGAGGAAAGUCACUCGACCUGUUUCAAGGACUUGUCAAUGGGCUGAAGGAAGCUCCACACCCAACAUGGGGCUUGAACUCACAACCCUGAGAUCCACACCCAACAUGGGGCUUGAACUCACAACAACUGAGCCAGCCACGCACCCCAAGAUUAUCUUGAGCUGAAGGUACUCAAGACCCUGCGGGCUCAGAAGAAACUUUUGCCACUCCCUUAACUACAUAGAAGAAUAUAAAUUGGGGGUCUUUCCUAGUAUAAGGGUUAUUAUGAGAGAUGACUUUUAUCUGCAUGACCCAUCUAUAUGGCAGGGCGGGCUUCUAAUUACCAAACAUCUGCUCUUCUCAUUGCCCUGAGAAUUGCAUUCCUUUUCCCUGAAGUCCUGGACCCCUAUGCCCUUCUCCUCAGUUCAGAAUGACCUAUAUACGUCAUUCUGCCUGUUUUUGGAAU